AUGGAGUCCAAGGCGGCGAGGUGCCUCUGCAUGCUGGCGAUGCUCCUGGUGGCCGGGCUCGGGGCGGCGCGCGGCGCCGGGGAGUGCGGCCGCGUCCCGGCGGACAGGAUGGCGCUCAAGCUGGCCCCGUGCGCGGCGGCCACGCAGAACCCGCGGGCCAAGGUGGCGCCCGGCUGCUGCGCGCAGAUACGCAGCAUCGGGCGCAGCCCCAAGUGCCUGUGCGCCGUCAUGCUGUCCAGCACCGCCCGCCAGGCCGGCGUCAAGCCCGCCGUCGCGAUGACCAUCCCCAAGCGCUGCGCCCUCGCCAACCGCCCCAUCGGCUACAAAUGCGGCC
rnacentral:rRNA from 1 species